UAUUAUUGGGCGUAAGGGCUCGCAGGCGGUUCUUAAGUCUGAUGUGAAAGCCCCCGGCUCAACCGGGGAGGGUCAUUGGAAACUGGGGAACUUGAGUGCAGAAGAGGAGAGGGAAUUCCACGUGUAGCGGUGAAAUGCGUAGAGAUGUGGAGGAACACCAGUGGCGAAGGCGACUCUCUGGUCUGUAACUGACGCUGAGGAGCGAAAGCGUGGGGAGCGAACAGGAUUAGAUACCCUGGUAGUCCACGCCGUAAACGAUGAGUGCUAAGUGUUAGGGGGUUUCCGCCCCUUAGUGCUGCAGCUAACGCAUUAAGCACUCCGCCUGGGGAGUACGGUCGCAAGACUGAAACUCAAAGGAAUUGACGGGGGCCCGCACAAGCGGUGGAGCAUGUGGUUUAAUUCGAAGCAACGCGAAGAACCUUACCAGGUCUUGACAUCCUCUGACAAUCCUAGAGAUAGGACGUCCCCUUCGGGGGCAGAGUGACAGGUGGUGCAUGGUUGUCGUCAGCUCGUGUCGUGAGAUGUUGGGUUAAGUCCCGCAACGAGCGCAACCCUUGAUCUUAGUUGCCAGCAUUCAGUUGGGCACUCUAAGGUGACUGCCGGUGACAAACCGGAGGAAGGUGGGGAUGACGUCAAAUCAUCAUGCCCCUUAUGACCUGGGCUACACACGUGCUACAAUGGACAGAACAAAGGGCAGCGAAACCGCGAGGUUAAGCCAAUCCCACAAAUCUGUUCUCAGUUCGGAUCGCAGUCUGCAACUCGACUGCGUGAAGCUGGAAUCGCUAGUAAUCGCGGAUCAGCAUGCGCGGUGAAUACGUUCCCGGGCUUGUACACACCGCCCGUCACACCACGAGAGUUUGUACACCCGAAGUCGGUGA
rnacentral:rRNA from 1 species